UAAGGAAUAUUGCUCAAUGGGAGAAAUCCUGAAGCAGCAACGCCGUGUGAAGGAUGAAGGGCUUUUGCUUGUAAACUUCUGUAGAAGGGGAAAAAACCUCCACUCUGUGGAGAUUGAUGGUACCCUUAGAGUAAGCCCCGGCUAACUACGUGCCAGCAGCCGCGGUAAUACGUAGGGGGCAAGCGUUGUCCGGAUUUACUGGGUGUAAAGGGUGCUCAGGUGGUUUUGUAAGUCAGAGGUGAAAUCUCAGAGCUUAACUCUGGAACUGCCUUUGAUACUAUGGAACUUGUGUACGGAAGAGGUUGAUGGAAUUCCUGGUGUAGCAGUGAAAUGCGUAGAUAUCAGGAAGAACACCAGUGGCGAAGGCGGUCAACUGGUCCGGUACAGACACUAAAGCACGAAAGCGUGGGUAGGCAAACAGGAUUAGAUACCUGGUAGUCCACGCCCUAAACGAUGAAUACUAGACGUAGGGUAGUAAAAACUCUAGUGUCGCAGCUAACG
rnacentral:rRNA from 1 species